rnacentral:lncRNA from 1 species
UUUUUUUUAUAGGGUAGGUCCCCCUCUUUCAGCACACACUUUUCUCCCUCUUUUUUAGGUGGAUUUAUCUGGUACACGUUCAACUGACUGAGAGUGAAGAGGACCGAGUGCUGUGUCAGCAUUUUCCUAGAAUUGCCAUGGCAUUUGUGUUGGCAAUCCAUCCAACCUUUUGCCAUGGCAAUAUUUCACUUCAUUUAUUCUCU